UUAUUUAGCAAAUAAAUAAACAACUUGUACUGCCAUGUAGCGAUUUCGAUAGACGACGCCUUCAAGGGAGGAGGAGUCUACAACAUAUUGAAUUUAUCGAUCGAUUGUUAGGCCGAUUUCGAUCAGCAUUGUAUAGUUAAUGAAUGACAACUUGACGAGAUCUUGACACGCACGUUGGAAGUGUACGCGUGUUUGCACCUCGAUGAGCGUUGCACAAUAACAAAGCUCCGUUGGUGAGCGUAUUGAUUAAUAAAGCUAGGUGAAGUCCUUGAGUGCCUCAAGGACUUUGUUUUGUUUUAGCAGUAUUUUUUCCUUCAACAAUUAAUCUUGCAUCUCCAACCGUGGAAUGAGUUACAUGUGACUCGAGACAAACAAACAGUGCAAUUGCAACAAUAUAAUUAGUCAGCGGUAUGGUCACUAUCAGCAGCUUUACACACAGUGUGCAUCGUGAAUACAUCAAUCCCAGAGAAAACAUUCCAAUGGAAAAUAUUGAGAAUUUCUGCCCUUCUAUCCUGAACUAAACAAUGCUGGGAGAUUGGUUAUCUCUUCACAGAGAUGAGUCAUCCGCUCCUUGGACAACGCUGCGAUCGU
rnacentral:lncRNA from 1 species